rnacentral:lncRNA from 1 species
CUCUGACUUCACUGUUGCCAUCGAAACUUCUGCAAAUAAAGAAGUUUCUCUUAUACAUGCCAAAAUAAUUAUAAUGAGACCUAGGAUCCAAAUAUUUUAGAUCUUGGAUAAGAGUAUAUAAUUCACUAAUUUCUUCAUUUUGUAAUAAUGGUCUUAUCCAAUACUUUCUCCGACGUGUAGGUUUUCGAAAUAACAUCCUACCUACCACAAUAUUCUGUACUUUUGAGUAUAGAAAGUGGUCAAGGCUAUGCGACAAACUUCAGGGCAUUGAUAUCCCUGAGGGACGACUACGGACACCUUAGCCUUGCCAUUGGUGUUUUUAAUGAUUUCAUUCCCCGUGCUUAUUGCAUCGAGGAUGGCAACGGGGUCCAUGCUUCUCAACGGAGGGGUAGCGGGUGCGUUGGUGGUUGCGAGCCCUGAUGUCUCCCAGCCAGAUUCUUGCAUUAGCUCCGGUGGAACGUCCUCCCAUCCGUCAUCCCAUCCACCUGUUGCCAUUUUGUUUAUAUUCACCUAUACACAUUUAUUUAUUUAUUUAUUUAGGAAGAAUCAAGGCCAAAUCAUGUUAAAAAACAACAAACACUGACCAUACAUAAAAACAAAGAUAAUAAUACAAAAGAUCACUACAUCACAGACAAUUAACAAUGGAUAACAUACAACAUAGUCAGUUAUAACAUAUAUUUCGAAUGCAGGACAUUUUCCUUUAGAAAUUUAGCAAAUCCC